UCCGUGGGGCCGGGUAUCAUGUGGGUCCCACGCGUCGGUGGGGGAGCGAGGUGUGCGUGGAGGUCGGUAGGCGCUGGGCAGUGAGAGUGACAAGGAGAAACGUGGCUGUCGUUUCUCGGGGGAGGCUGCUUACGCGUGGGGCCACCUAAAAGAUUCUGCACAGAUUUUCAUUUCUUUUAUUUCACGGUUUUUUUUUUCUUUUUUUGGGUAGCACGGAGGGCGAUGACUCGAUGCCACGUGAGGAGGUCUCGAUAAGAUCGUGUCGUGGAGAGUCAUCACGGAUCUCACGAUUCAUGCUCUGCGGCAGCAAAUUAUCUUACGGAAAAUCUAUCUCUAAGCUGAUCUGGUUUUAAGAUAGGACCAGGUCAGUUGUCGCGGCCACGCGAUCGCCAUCCGACGGUCUACAGCUAGCGGUGCGUCCCUGAUCAGCGGAGGCCCACGCGCAGUCUGAUAUGUGUUUGGUACCCGUAGCCUGGCGUCCCAACCUGGGGGUGGGUGGAGAGUGAAUAGUCGUUCCCCAUUUCGCCUUCCGCCUUCCAAUUUCCUCGUCGCCUCCCACCGCCGCGGGGCUGCAAAUCCGGCGAUGAUUCUGUAGUUUAGGCUGCCGGAGUAGCCGGGGAGUUCAGGUGCUGCUGAUACUCCCCGUCAGCGAGGACCAAUUUGAUCUCAGUCGCAUCCAUCAUUCCGUCGUCGAGGGCUUCGUCUUCGUCGUCGUCGUCGCCGGAACGUUUUCUCCAGGUGUUGGCUGCUUCUUCUCCUCGUCUCAAGCCAAGGUAUCGACGUUCACAUCCUCGUCACCGGCAGCUACUUCUUCGGGUUGCCGACAACAUCAUCGCCGCCAAGUCUCUUCCUCGCCGUCGGCAGCAACUCCCUCCCUCGAAGGCGCCAACGACAACAUCCUAUUGUAGAAGACGACAUCCUCGCCCGUUGGGAGCAACAUCUUCAGGUCGCCGAUAGGAUCAUCGCCGCCAAGUCUCUUCCUCGCCGUCGGCAGCAACAUCCUCUUGCAAGAGACGACAUCCUCGCCCGUUGGGGAGCAACAUCUUCGGGUUGCUGACAACAUCAUCGCCGCCAAGCCCAUCCCAUCCCGCUUCGGCAGCAACAUCCUGAGGCUGCGACACCACCCUUUUUUAACAGCGGAUCUUCUAGAAGCUGGAAGGGGAUUUCGUGAGAAAACUGGAAGUUAUUCACAAAACAUGCAGUGAAACGGGGUAAGUUUUCUUCCUGUACCUUAUCAUAGAUGUUUGCUUCUCCUCAGCAGAUCCUGUACUGGGUGUGUUCUCUUUAGCAGAUUGCGUACUGGAUGUGAUUUUAUUGAACAGAUCUGCUACUAGCUAGAAAAGGUGAUUUCUGAGUUAGUAAAAAGCUGGAUGUCGUUCACAAAACAUGCUGUCAAACGGGACAUGUUUUCCUCCAGUACCUUAUCAUAGAUGUUGUUUCCCCUCAGCAGAUCCUGUACUGGAUGUGGCUUCAGAAGUUAUUGCAAGACGUUUUAAUACGAAAUGGGGGAUGUCUUAUUUUUUUAGCAAAUCUUGCCCAACGAAAACAGUGGGAUGUCUUCUUCCAAGAAAUCUGGCCCACCAGAAAAUUCCGUUGGUUGAAUCAGGGAUGUUUCUUCCAGCAGAUCUUCUCGAUAAACCUGGUAGAUGUUACUUUUGGUUUUUUGAUAAGUUGAGAAGAGAAGGGAGAAGGGCUCAAUGGCGGCCGACGGGAUCAACGGAGAAGAAAAAAGACGAGAGAAGGGGGCGGAAGGGAAAGGUGGAGGAGAUUACUUUUUUUUUUGAAACUGGAGAUUACUUUGUGGGAGGGUGGUAAUAAAUCGUCUAGGUAUUUUUUUUUUCUGUCCGUGCACACGAGGUCCCCGCACGGUUGCCGGGUAGACAGGGAUGGUGGUCCCUACCGGUUUCUAAUUUUGGAAGUAACUACCGUAUGGAAUAGGAAAGUUUUUCUGACCUGACGUUAAGCUAAAUUCAGGUUGACCUGAAUGUAGUCGCAUCCAUUAUCUUAACCAAAAAAUAUCCCCACUCCAUAUUAAAUAGUCCGUAGAUUUAAAAUUCCAGAUAAGUCUGCGAUUGUUUAACUACCUCCAUUUCAUAUUAACUGUCCUAGAUUUUCCUAGAUAUGUAUAUUUAGAUUGUGUAGAUAGAUAUACAUGUAAGCAAACAUAUGACGGAUUUACAUAAAUCUGAGUAAAUUAGGAUAUCUACAACGGUUAUCUUGUGGUGAUACCUAAGAUAUUUGUCGGAAACCUCUUAGCUGGGAGAUCGUCUCUUAGCAAGAAAAUUAACAUUGUUCUCCAUUCGAUGUCUUAUCUAAGACAUUGUUUUUUAAGAACCCUCCAUCUCCCUCCUCCUCUGAAAGAAAUGAGAGAGCUAGGGUGGAAACCCUAGCAGCCGUUGCCAUCUGCUUAGUUAUCUACACAGGAAUUGACAGGUCCCCGCCUCCUCUGCUAGCCCUUCCGACGGCGGGAGGGGGUUGGGACCUCGGACAUGCGCUCGGUGUUGUAUAAGGGUCCCUAAAGUUAGAGUUUGUUCAAAUGGCAUCGUUGUUAUGGUGGCUAUGGCGACGUUGUAGAAGGGUCCAUAAAGUUAGAGUUUGUUCAAAUCAUUAGUAUGGAAAAGCCUACUAGUCGCGUGUCACUACUAGUCGCAGGCUGAGGCCCGCGACUCGUACCUCGCUAGUGGUAUUCACUACCUUUCGUGUUGUAACAUCCCAAAAAUUUCAAAACAAAGAAAAUGAAUUUCCUUAUUUCCAAAAUUUGGAACCAACAAAAACUUUUCUUAAAUUAAGUUUGAUACAUAUUACUCAUGCUUAACUCUUGUGCUAUUGCCAUAUUUGCUUGUUGAGGUAUAUUGAAAUGAUCUUAAACCCUAAACCUCACCCCUCUUUUCACCAUCCAAGUCAAAACAAUAUAAAAAGAAAUUAAAUAAGAAAAGGGUUUAUGUGUCUAUGGCUAUUUUUGUAAAACUUUACCCUAGGCCUUUCUACCUUGUUUAGAGGAUUGGAAAACCUUAAUAAACCUUACCUAGUACUUAUCAAACCAAAUCCAAGGUGAAACCAAAGAAAAUAAAAAAAGAAAAUAAAAUGCCAUAGAGGCACAUGAGAGUAAAUAGCAAAUUUGUGAAUUUGAGGAUCUUGACUCUAAUACUUGUUGUGAAUGGUUGGAUCACUCCUCUAUACCAUUUCAACACUCAACAACAUCAAUUGGAUCAAGAAAAAUCAAAUCAAAAAUAAAAUCAACAUAUGCAUAUAGGCAUAUGUGGCACAUAGCCAUAUUACCAAAUCUUGUCCUAUGCACUCCUACCUUGCCCAAAUGGUGUGAAACCACCUCUAAACCUAAUCUCACACUAAAUGGACCCUAAACCAUGCCCAAGUAAAGCAAGGGGAACAAAAUAGAAGAUUAAGAAAAUUUGGCAUUUCACCUCUUAUGUGUUUAUGGCCAUUUUUGCAAAUCUUUGAACUAGACAUUUUGGAAUGGUUUCAAUGGUUUGAAAAUGUUCCUAAACUAAUAAGAAUCACUUUUGAUUCAAGAGAAAACCAAAUCAAUAAAAUAGAAAGAAAAGAAAUGAAGAAAUACCCAUUUUCACUCACAUACACUUUAGCCAAAUAUGCAAAUCUUUAACCAAGGCCACCAUUGUUUGUGCCUUUGCUUGUGAAACACAUAUAUAUCAAAAACAAACACUUUUGCAUCAAAGAAACACAAAUAAAAUCAAAGGAAAAAAUCAGAAUUCAAUUACAUGUGAUAAUGGUCACUUUGCCACUUUUUAACAUCAUGCCUACUUUGCACUCCUGGUUUGGAAGAUUCUUAAACCAAACUUGGCCAACUCUUUCCACCUCAUCCAAGAUCAUGUCAAGGUGAACAUUGAUACGUCUCAAACGUAUCUAUAAUUUCUUAUGUUCCAUGCUACUUUUAUGAUGAUACUCACAUGUUUUGUACACACUUUAUGUCAUAUUUAUGCAUUUUCCGGCACUAACCUAUUGACAAGAUGCCGAAGAGCCAGUUGUUGUUUUCUGCUGUUCUUUGUUUCAGAAAUCCUACAAAGGAAAUAUUCUCGAAAUUGGACGAAAUCAACGCCCAGGGUCUUAUUUUUCCACGAAGCUUCCAGAAGACCGAAAGGAUUACGAAGUGGGGCGACGAGGCGACGCCACGCCGGGCCAGCGCGGCCAAG